rnacentral:rRNA from 1 species
GUAACACGUGAGCAAUCUAUCCUGUUGCGGGGGACAACGAGGGGAAACCUUCGCUAAUACCGCAUGGUCGAGAACCUCGAUGGGGUUUUCGGGAAACGUGGCCUCUUAGCAAUGCUACGGCGAUGGGAGGAGCUCGCGGGCUAUCAGCUUGUUGGUGAGGUCAUGGCUCACCAAGGCGACGACGGCUACGGGGUCUGAGAGGACGACCCCGCACAUUGGAACUGAGACACGGUCCAGACUCCUACGGGAGGCAGCAGUGGGGAAUAUUGGGCAAUGGCCGAAAGGCUGACCCAGCGACGCCGCGUGUGGGAGGAAGCCCUUCGGGGUGUAAACCACUGUCAGGAGGGACGAAAGAGUCGGGGGUGAAUAAUCCUCGGCAGUGACGGUACCUCCAAAGGAAGCACCGGCUAACUCUGUGCCAGCAGCCGCGGUAAUACAGAGGGUGCGAGCGUUGUUCGGAAUUACUGGGCGUAAAGCGCGCGCAGGCGGGUCCUGUAAGUCGGAAGUGAAGUUUCGGAGCUCAACUCCGAAGCUGCUUCUGAUACUGCGGAUCUGGAGAUCGGUAGAGGUCGGUGGAAUUACAGGGUGUAGCGGUGGAAUGCGUAGAUAUCUGUAAGACACC